CAUAGCUCUUAGCCCUUUCAGAAUUUUUUCUAAUAGGAUUUCUGACCUUGGUUGGAAAUCCCAA
ensembl:snRNA LOC120101220 U7 small nuclear RNA